GGGAACAAUAAUGGCAGCGGGUGGGAGAUGAAGAAGAAAUGAUGAUGGAGGGGCGGUCUCUUCAAUAAGUAAGCGCUGGCUGAAGAAGAUGAAUGAUGAUAGGAAGGCUGCUGUGUGAACUGAUGACGAAGACGAAGCAAUGUCGAUAGGUAUUGCGGCACUAGGCUACAGGGGUGGUCGACUGGUGUUGUGGAUGCCGGUUGAUUUCGACGAGUUGAGGGUGAUGCGAGGGAGACGAUAUACAGGGGGUGGGGUCUUCGCU
rnacentral:lncRNA from 1 species